UACGUAGGGCGCGAGCGUUGUCCGGAAUUAUUGGGCGUAAAGAGCUCGUAGGCGGCUUGUUGCGUCUGCUGUGAAAUCCCGGGGCUUAACCCCGGGCGUGCAGUGGAUACGGGCAGGCUGGAGGCAGGCAGGGGAGAACGGAAUUCCCGGUGUAGCGGUGAAAUGCGCAGAUAUCGGGAGGAACACCGGUGGCGAAGGCGGUUCUCUGGGCCUUACCUGACGCUGAGGAGCGAAAGCGUGGGGAGCGAACAGG
rnacentral:rRNA from 1 species